UUUUGCGUUUUGUAAAAAAUUAAUCUGUUCCCAUAAGAAUUACCCCAUAUGUUUUUAUUGCCAGUCAAUAAAUUUCUUUUCUUUUGUUUUAGCAGUGAAAUUCACUUAAAAAAAAAUGAGAAUUCCCUCUUCAUAUAAAGAGAAGAACUAUAGAAUCAUCACCAUAUAUACACUUCUCUCUCUCUCACACUAUCUCUCCCCAUCCUCUUCUCUUUCUCUGAAAAUAUAAACUAUAAAAGAGAAAUAAUUCUUCCUAGGAACUGAUAAGGUAUAUAAGCAAUUCAUCAAACCAAAAUUUUCAUAUCCUUCAGUUUGAAAAUUUUUUUCUUAUUUUCUUUUAUUAUUUUGGCAAAGGCUUUUUUUCCUUUUUUGGUGUUGUGAUAUUAGAUCAAGUUCUUCCACGCUGAUUAAGUUCUGCCCACUCUUAGCAUCUGCAUCUGGGCAUCUUUCUUUCUUUUCUUUCUUCCAACAAUAUGACAGCCAGAUUAUCAUCACCACAGUUUUUGAGAUUGGUUUCACUAGCAUAGGUCAUGACUUGCAAUGGGAUGGCGUUCUUCCCAGCUAAUUUCAUGCUCCAAACUCCGCAUGAAGAAGAUCAUCAUCAACCUCCCACUUCUCUCAAUCCAAUUCUACCCUCAUGUACAUCCCAAGACUUCCAUGGGGUGGCAUCAUUUCUAGGGAAGAGGUCAAUGUCAUUUUCGGGGAUUGAUGCCUCGUGUCAUGAAGAAGCUAAUGGAGAGGAUGAGUUGUCCGAUGAUGGCUCACAGGCAGGAGAGAAAAAAAGGAGGCUUAACAUGGAACAAGUGAAGACACUUGAGAAGAACUUUGAAUUAGGUAACAAGCUUGAACCUGAGAGAAAAAUGCAGCUAGCUAGGGCUCUGGGCUUGCAACCAAGACAGAUUGCUAUAUGGUUCCAAAACAGGAGGGCUAGAUGGAAGACUAAACAGCUUGAGAAAGAUUAUGAUCUCCUCAAGAGACAGUUUGAAGCUAUCAAAGCUGAUAACGAUGCACUCAAAGCUCAGAACCAGAAGCUUCAUGCAGAGAUAUUGGCACUGAAAAGCAGGGAACCAACUGAGUCUAUUAACCUCAAUAAAGAAACUGAAGGUUCUUGCAGUAAUAGAAGUGAAAACAGCUCUGAUAUCAAAUUGGAUAUCUCAAGGACACCAGCUAUUGAUAGCCCCCUAUCUAAUCACCCAACAAACAGACCCCUUUUUCCAUCUUCAUCUAUAAGGCCUACAGGUGUGGCACAGCUGUUCCAAAACAACUCUUCAAGGUCUGAUCACAUCCAUUGCCAGAAGAAUAUAGAACAAAUGGUGAAGGAAGAAAGCCUUAGCAACAUGUUCUGUGGAAUUGAUGAUCAAUCUGGGUUUUGGCCAUGGCUUGAGCAACAACAUUUCAAUUGAAACACAACGGAUACUUCUACUACCAUAUUGAAAUUAAUUAAUAUACACCACUAUAUGCAGUUUGGCAAAGUUUUUCGAAUCAUCAUCAAGAGGGCAACUACCUUAUUUUAUAAGUCCAUGUUUUGGUACUCAGGUUGGUGUAUAAAAUAGGAUUUAUAUCGAAGCUGAAAUUUCAGGUUGGUGGAGGUGGGUAGGGGGGGGGGGGCCGCUGGCUGAAUAUCAUCUUUAUGAGGAAUAAAGGAGUUUGUGUCUUUGGGUUAUAUACCAUGUUUUUCCUAAAGAGUUAGAGAGAGAUGUUUGCUAGGUUGGAUCAUGGAAUCCAAGUGAUGAAUUAUAUUUGCUAGCGACUGGUUGGAGCUAGCACUAGCAUGGGCCAUGAAAUAAAAAGGGAUUCUCUCUUCCUUGCAUAUUUUUAGUUUUUCUUGCGUUGGAAUCAUGUCUUUGUACUACCAAAGAAAAAAAAAUACUUGCAGUUGCUUUCUUCAAAGUCUCCUCAACAAUUUUUCCUGCAUAUUCUGUACAAAAUAUGGUAUUUGACCCAAUGGUCAUGAAGAAUAUUAUUUACUUUAUGAAGUGGUAAAAAUUAAUAAUUUCUACUAUGUAAAAGUUUUAUUCCAGAAACGGCGAGAAGAAG
rnacentral:misc_RNA from 1 species